CAGCCGCGCCGCCCGCGGGCCACCCCCCACCCCCCGGCACCCACGCCCUGCUGUUUAUGAGGAAGGCGAAGCUCCCCGCCCCGCGCCGCCUCCCUCUCCGGAGCCCUCCUGCUCGGCUUCCUCCUCCCCCACCCAGGCCCCAAAAACGAGCUCAAGGGCCUGCCUGAAGCUCGGCGGAGGCCCAGGCCUCCCAGAACCCUGGCGGCUGCCGGAGCCGGCCUGGCCGGGAUGCCCGUGACCGCGGCCCCCACGCCCGCCUAAACCGGACCCCGGGCUGGCGCCGCCUCCCGGGACCAGAUUCCACCCCAGCGGCGGCGCGGCCCGAGUCGCGCAGGAGAAAAACGGACUCCGCCGAGGCCCCAGGCCCCGAGCCCCGCAGCGGAGGCGCGCAGUGCGCAGCCCGGCCGGCCGCCCUCCGCCGCCCGCUGGCCGGGGUUCCUGAGGCCCCGAGGCCCCACGGAAGGUCUGGGAACUGGGAGCAGGAAAAAUGAAAGCCGCCUAUCUCCAGAUCUAAGAAUAGAAAUCAGGGCGUUGGGAAAACAGGACACCGCCCAGAUGUCCCCUUUUAGGAAAACAUUCUCUUUAGCGCUCUCCCUAUAGGGAGUCGAGUAAUUUCCCCCAGAGGAUGGAGAGAGAGGUUAGCUAACAAAACUUGCCCGCUACUGUCUUUUUUAUGAUUGUGGUGACUGUUCGUGGGAGAGGAAAUAGACAUUGUUUCUCUGUGAGUUAUCUGAAGCUCUGGUCACCACAAGGCCACUAAAUUAACUUUUGGAAAUUUGAGUUGCACUAGGCAGGAUCCUGAUGGUUGGGACAACCGAAAAGUAAUCAGCUCUCAGAGCUAUUAGAACUAAGGCGAAGAACAGGGUACAUUAAAUGAAAGGAGAAAAGGAGGAGAAACCUAGCAAGAACAUUGUAGACAAGGCUAAGCAAAGAUGAUCUGUCCUUCAGGUGAUGUGUCUGUCCUCAAGUUCAUCUACAAGGAAGAGGAUUGGGCUGGAAGUUAGUACUUCACAAUUUUAGAUUUGUUUUCACAUAUGUUACUUCAAUCCUAUGACAAUUCUGAAAUGGAUAAAACUGCUACUAUGUAUCCUUCUUUCACUAAUGAGGAAAUUGAGAUUUGGAGUUGAUAAGUGAAGAGCUUUGCUGGAGUCACACAAGUGGGAAGCUGAGAGCCAGGAUUUCAACCCAGGCAAAUCUCAAAACACCAGAGUCAAGAAAACUUUUAAGCUAUUCGCAGCUUUGAACAAUUGAGUAUAUUCCUAUGAACAAAAUUUGGAGUAUGUUUGUUUUUCUCUACUGAU